CGGUGACGCAAAGUGAAACCAGCACUUAAGCAAAAGUUUUCUCAGCAACGCAAUUUACCUCUGCGGAAGCGUACUGCUCGCAUCAAUCACAAUCGCAAGAGCACACGGAACAAAGGAAAGCAGGGGUUUUUAUUCCUAAUGCAAUCCCUACCUCUGGCAUGGGCUGGGGCCAGACCUCAAGAUCUAAACUGACCCGGUUGGCUAUUUGUGAAUACUUUCCCAAAUAAGGAAGGAGGAAGGGAGUCGUGAGUUACAGGUGGGACGUGUGGUUUGAAAGGGAGAAAUGGGUGCAGAGCAGGUAACCAAGGGAACAGAUGUGAGUUAUUGAUUAGAACUGAUGGGGGGAAGGUUGUUUACAGUAACUAAGGGCAAGGAGACAUGGAGAACAAGAAAGUUGAGUUCGAGAACAAAACACAAGAACGUUAACUUGUCGAACCUCGGAAGAGAAACUGACUGUAUCUGACGGUUUUACACAUUUUAGGGAGACAGGAGACAUCAAUCAACAUAUGUAAGAUGAACACUGGUUUGAUCCGGUACAACCUGAAGCAAAAGUGGGUCAACUCGAAGCCAGGAGGGGGCUUCCAGGUCACAGAAACGGGGGUCUCCCUCGGUUGCCCAGGCUGUCUCUGGUGCCCAACGCAGGGCUCCCCGUAAUCUCUACAAAUAAUCCAGUGAAGGAACACCAGAGCGUGGAAAGCUGAGGACGACCGACAAAGGACUCUCGAACAAGUAUUCUCCUUGGUUCCCGGAGUAUGGAACCAUGAAUGUAGAAGAUUGGGACAAGGUGAGAUCAGACUUAAAACGAGCACAACAAGAGGGCCGCGAUAUUCCCGUCUCUGCUUGGUCUGUGUGGUCUGCAAUUAAAACAGCCCUGGAGCCCUUCCACACUGAGGAGGAGGAGGAGGAUUUUCAGGAUGACAUAGCAAAGUUGAAUAAUCAGGAGUCUAAUUAUCAGCUAAGUGAACUAUGACAGUCUCGUUUAAAAAAGGGUGAGAAACGGGAAGGAAUUUCUCUGGGAUUUCCUGAACCAUCAGGAGGGUCCCCGCAUAAGAGAUCAUUUAAGCCACGGGGAGAUCAACUUACAUGAAUUUU